rnacentral:rRNA from 1 species
AACGAACGCUGGCGGCAUGCCUAACACAUGCAAGUCGAACGAGAUCUUCGGGUCUAGUGGCGCACGGGUGCGUAACGCGUGGGAAUCUGCCCUUUGGUUCGGAAUAACAGUUGGAAACGACUGCUAAUACCGGAUGAUGACGAAAAUCCAAAGAUUUAUCGCCAGAGGAUGAGCCCGCGUAGGAUUAGCUAGUUGGUGUGGUAAAGGCGCACCAAGGCGACGAUCCUUAGCUGGUCUGAGAGGAUGAUCAGCCACACUGGGACUGAGACACGGCCCAGACUCCUACGGGAGGCAGCAGCGGGGAAUAUUGGACAAUGGGCGAAAGCCUGAUCCAGCAAUGCCGCGUGAGUGAUGAAGGCCUUAGGGUUGUAAAGCUCUUUUACCCGGGAUGAUAAUGACAGUACCGGGAGAAUAAGCUCCGGCUAACUCCGUGCCAGCAGCCGCCGUAA